rnacentral:lncRNA from 1 species
CAGUUAUAUAUAUAUAUAUAUAUAUAUGGUCCAGUUAUGGUGUUUUUAAAAGCACUACGUAUUUGAUGCUUGUAAAUUUUUCGCCAUUAAAUUUAUUUUUUUAAUCAUUUUCAUUCUUUAUAUAUAUAUAUAUAUAUAUAUAUAUAUAUAUAUAUAUAGUUGGACUGGGAUACUAUUAGUAACAAAAUUUUAUUGUUGCUAUCAGUUUUUUAGCCUUUGGAUCAACUCUUUUCAUUAUUUCUAACUAUUGGAUUAAAUACUAUAACCCAGUGGGAACCACUCAACCCUAGAGGGACCACUCAACUCUAACCGACUAAUAUCAUUCUGACUCUACAAUUUUUUAUCCAAGGGUUAAAAACUUGAUAGCAAAAUAAGCGUUUUACUAUUAAUAGUAUUCCAGCCUAAUUCUAUACAUAUAUAUAAUUAAGCUCCUAUACUUUGAAAAGUAUGAAAUUAUUAGUACUAGUAGGUUUUCGGCCCCUUAGACUAGAGAAUAUGCGGUUAGAAUGAUAAUGGUCCUGUUAGGAUUGAAUGUGUGGCUGGUUGAAUAGUAUAAUCUAACGGAUAAAAAUGAUUGAAAAGGUAGAUCUAAUAACAAAAAACUUAUAAGCACAAAGUGUUUGAUACUAUCAAAAAUUUUAUAGCUCCUCUAACACACUCUCUCUCUCUCUCCCUCUCUCUCUCUCUCUCUCUCUCUAUAUAUAUAUAUAUAUAUUAAAUAUU